CCCGCGUGGCCGUGAAGAUGGCCUUCCGCAAGGCCUACUCCAUCAAGGACAAGCUGCAGGCCAUCGAGCGCGUCAAGGGCGGCGAGCGGCAGGCCAGCGUGUGCCGCGACUUCGGUGUGCCGGGCGGCACGCUGCGCGGCUGGCUCAAGGACGAGCCCAAGCUGCGCUGGUUCCUGGAGCAGCUGGGCGGCGAGGUGGGCACGCAGCGCAAGAAGAUGCGGCUGGCCAACGAGGAGGAGAUCGACCGCGCCGUCUACUCGUGGUUCCUGGCGCUGCGCCAGCACGGCGUGCCGCUGUCAGGGCCGCUCAUCCAGGCGCAGGCCGAGGCCUUCGCGCGCCAGAUCUAUGGGCCCGAGUGCACCUUCAAGGCCAGCCACGGCUGGUUCUGGCGCUGGCAGAAGCGCCACGGCAUCUCCAGCCAGCGUAUCUACGGCGAGGCCGAGCCUCUGGCCACGGGCCCCGCGCCCGGCCAGCCCGUCAAGCAGGAGCCCGCGCAAGCCCCCGGCUCCAGCUCCGGCCCCCUGCCCGACCGGGCCCCGGCCCCGCCGCCCCCCGCCGAGGGCGGCUACGGCGACGAGCAGAUCUACAACGCAAACGUCACUGGCCUCUACUGGAAGCUGCUUCCGGAGCAGGCCGCGCCCCUGGGCGCGGGAGACCUCGGCGCGGGGGGCUGCGGCCGGCGCUGGCGGGGUGACCGGGUGACCGUGCUGCUGGCCGCCAACCUGACCGGUAGCCACAAGCUGAAGCCGCUGGUCAUCGGGCAGCUGCCGGACCCGCCGAGCCUGCGCCACCACAACCAGGACAAGUUCCCCGCGUCGUACCGCUACAGCCCGGACGCCUGGCUCAGUCGCCCUCUGCUGCGGGGCUGGUUCUUCGAGGAGUUCGUCCCCGGCGUGAGGCGCUAUCUGCGCCGCAGCUGCCUGCAGCAGAAGGCCGUGCUGCUGGUGGCCCACCCGCCCUGCCCAAGCCCCGCUGCCAGGGUGCCCGCGCUGGAGGAGAGCGAGGAGACCCUGCGGCGGCGGCGGCCCGAGCCCCUCAGCCCCCCAGAAGAGCUGCAGACCCCGGAUGGUGCUGUGCGGGUGCUCUUCCUGUCCAAGGGCAGCGGCCGGGCGCACAUCCCUGCCCCACUGGAGCAGGGGGUGGUGGCCGCCUUCAAGCAGCUAUACAAGCGGGAGCUGUUGAGGCUAGCUGUGUCUUGUGCGGGGGGCUCCCCGUUGGACUUCAUGCGCAGCUUCAUGCUCAAGGACAUGCUCUACCUGGCCGGCCUCUCCUGGGACCUGGUGCAGGCAGGCAGCAUUGAGCGGUGCUGGCUGCUCGGCUUGCGGGCGGCCUUCGAGCCCCGGCCCACUGAGGAGUGUGUGGGGCAGCCGGCCGGCCAGGCCGAGGACGCUGCAGAGCACAGCCGGGUGCUCAGCGACCUCACGCACCUGGCAGCCCUGGCCUACAAGCGCCUGGCGCCCGAGGAGGUGGCCACGUGGCUGCAUCUGGACGAUGAUGGGGGGCUGCCCGACAGCUGCAGGGAGGAGGCAGGCCCUGGCCGGCCCCCUGUGCUGGCCCCUGCUGCCCCUCUACCCCCAGCCAGCCUACCCUCUGUCGUGGGAGGUGGGGAGGAGGAGGAGGAGGCUGCCGUGCCCACUGCUGGGGAGGCUGUCCGGGGUCUGGAGACAGCUCUCCGGUGGCUGGAGAAUCAGGACCCCCGGGAGGUGGGGCCACCAAAGCUGGUGCAGCUGCGCUCAUUGAUCAGCAUGGCCCGGAGGCUGGGGGGCAUUGGUCCCUCUCGUGCAGUCCCCGAGGAUGGGGUGUGACCAGGCCAGCCUGAGUGGCCCCCCGGCGGCUGUUCUCCUGCUGCACUUGGAGGGAGGAGACAUGCACAGUCUUCCAUUUCCCCUCCCUCCCUCCCCUGGGAUGGCCCACCCCAUGGCUCAGGGGGCUCCAGGGAUCCUGGCCCCCAGGCUGACUUGGAGGGGCUCUGUUGUGGAGGAUCACCCUGCUCCACUGGUCCCCCAUUCUCCUGAGGGGAGCUAGAAGAGGGGCCCUGGGCUCAUACACCUCCUCCCUGCGCAAGCACAUUCGUGGUGUCUGUGGUUUUUGCCAGGGUCCCUUGCCACACACACCUGCCACGAACAACGUAGCGCGCUAAUCAGAGCAGCUCUCGGUUUUCUGGCCCUGGCCCUUACUGGGCUCCAUGCCUGUCCGUACCUCCUGCCCUCCUCCGGGGUGGCCCAUCACAUGCACUGGACAAGGGGCCAGCACUCCUGUAAGUCUGGAGCUCUGGUGCUUCAUGGUUCCCAUGCCACAGCCAUGCAAUCUCCAUGCGGAGAUCUCCAUGCGGAGUCCGUUUUUACAGAUACCCUGCCUGGGGCCCAGGGUGGUGUCUCAUUCCCCAGCCUGGGGCUGCUCUUGGAGGUUGGCUCUAUAGAGGCUGGGAAGGGAGGGUGGUGCCCGGCAAUUGGGGAUCCUGAGGUUCCAGAUGCAGCAGCAAGUGUAGAUUUCUGUUCUACUGGGAUUGUUAGUUUUCCUUAAGAAAAUUCCAUUCCCAAACUGCUCUCUUAUUCUAUGGGGUUAGCAGCCUUCUAGACUUGGGCCCCUGGUGACUUGGCCAAUGACUGAGCAAGCUCCCUGGACCAGCAACCAGGCCCAGAGCCACGCCAUCUACCCGGAGCGGGCCUGCGAUACUGACAGCCAUACGGGGACAAUCCUACAGUGCCUUAGUGCUCCUCCAUUGGAACUCCUGGCACUGCCAAGGGUAUGGCUAGGAAGCUGCUUCCCGUAGCCCCAGGGACUGGGCUUCUGAGUGGCUCCGUUUGAGAGGAGGAGGAAAGGGUUCAUGUGUCACUGGCCAGCUCUAGGUUCAGAGUCCGGCGGUGCCCGGGCCUCCGAGGGACGGCCUUGGGGGAGGUGCUGCCCAGAGCGCUUGUGAGAGGCGGGGGCCAGGUCUGAGUGCUGCCUGCCUCCGUCCUCCCUUCACCCCCACCUGCCCCACAUCCUCCAGCAGUAGCCAGGCGGCUGCAGGCACACGGUGUGUCCAUGGGAGGGGGUGGCCACGCACUGCUGAGGCAGCUGGAGGGAGCCCCCAGAGCAGCUUCCCCACAAGUCUGAGAACAUAAGUUGUUCCGUGGAACUGUCCCAGGUCAGAGUGUGUGUGUGUCACAUCCAUGUAUCUCAAAUCUGAAAGCUGAGGGAAGGUGUGAAGAAUUUGGGAGCAGGGGCCCCCAGCUGGGGCCCCUCUGGCCCGUCCACUCACUAGCUGUCUCCAGCCUGUGCCCCUGCAGGCGCCUCUGGUCGUCUGUGGCUGCCGUCUGUGGCUGGCCCUGGGACUCUAACCCAAGCAGCUGGCAUGGGGCUUCAGGAAGUCUUCCCUUUUGUAACAUCCGAUGGCAACUCAGGGACCUAGGGCUGGGAGGCCCUGGCCUCUGCUCUGCCAGGCGUGCCCCUGGGGGAGUCUGGAGAGGCAGACCUCAGGGCCCCCAUGGGCACUGGGCAAGGGUGCACUUGGGACCCCAGAGUCUCUCUCUGCAGAAUGGUUGAACACUCACAGCAGCAAAGCUUGCUGCUCUUCCCAAAAGUGGCUCUUGGUCAGGAUCAUCGUUAGGGCAUCCAGUGGGCUUGGCAGUGGGCUGCGGAGGGGAGACAUGUGGAUGAAGACAAGCCGGUGUGCAGGUUCUGCUAAAACCGCCCUUGACCUGCAUGUUCUGUGGGGAUGAGACUAAGCUACGACCCUCAGAGGGAGCUGUCUGAGAGGCACAGCCUUGCCCAAGGGGGCUACAUGCCUGGGAAGCCACCCCCAGACAGCCGGGGGGCUGCAGGGCACCAUGUCGGCAUGUGGUGAAGGGAAGAGUGUGCCCUCCAGGGACCCCAGCCCGGGUCCCAGCCCAGCGAGUCAGGAUUGCCGCGGGGAGCCCGGGAGGGGGGCUGGGCGCUGUUUGUGCCCAGAUAAGGGUGCCCACAGGCUAGCCUUGACUCCAGGGGCGUGUCCUUGAGGACCAUGGGCUUUUGGGAUGCAUGCUCUGUUGAGGGGCCUUUUCACACCCAUCCUUGAGGGAGGAAUUCACCCAGUCAGGUAGGCCCAACGUGCUUUAUAAUAAAGGUUCAUGUCAAUUUCAUAUGCA